ensembl:lncRNA
AAAGAGUAAACGUAACGUAAUAGAGUACAGUGUAUCAGCGCACCCACGUGUGGGCUAUUGAACCAAGUGGAAAAUAUGAUGCUUUGUCCUAUCCCAUCCAUCCAUUUAAACACACAUUUUGCCCCAGGGAAUAUAAUUCAUGCAGCAUAAACCACAAUAAUAAAAACAGGAACACUGAUGCAAGAAAACACACCACAAACAAGUUUUAAAAUGAAAGAAAAAAGUGACCAACAUAGGCCUAAAAUAACUAGUUUAGAUAUGCAUCCAGUAAGUUUUAUAUGCAGUCAUGGUGGGUUCCACCUCCAUGAUUCAGAAGCUUGUAGAAGUACCUCUGGCAGUUUUCUGUUUGACUUUAUCGAUGUGUCACAUCAUUGUGGAAGAGUUUUAGCCCCGCUCGUCUUUACAGCGUUGCUUCAGCUCAUUGAGGUUUGCAGGAAUUCAUUCAUGCUCAGCUCUUUUCAGUCAGGUUGAGUUUUGUACUUUGACUGGAUCAUUGCAGCACAUUAAUUCUUUUGCUUUUUUUUUUUUUUUUUUGACCAAUUUUUAUCUGUUGGACAGAUGUCUCCACAUUUCAUUCUGCAUUGGUAUACAGAGGAGCUCACGGUUGACUCAGUGACUGCUAGGUGCCCAAAUCAGCACACUUCCACCACCAUGCUCACAGUUGGUAUAAUUGGUUUGGGCUGAUAAGUUAUGUUUGGGUGUCUCCAAACAUGGUGCUGUGCGUUAUGGACAAACAAAUGGAUGUUGUUCCAGAAGUCUUAUGGACUGUUCAUUUGCAACUUUGCCAACCUAAGCUGUGCUGCCAUGUUAUUUUUAGAGAGGAGGCUUUCUCCUGGCAACCCUUCCAAAGAAGCCAACGUGUUCUGUCUUUUUCUAAUUUUAUUGUCAUGAACUUUAACCUUUAACAUGCUAACUGGGGCCUGUAGAGUCUGAGAUGGAGCUCCUGGGUUUUUGCAGUUUUUCUGAGCAUUGCUCUGUCUGACCUUGAGGGGAAUUUGUUGGGAAAUUGCACAGUAAGCCUGUAGGCUACUUACUGUUUUACAUAGCUGAACAGAAAACUUGGUUUUUCACCUGACUGUGUGUAAGUAUGUAAGUAUGUAUAGAUUUUUCUCAUACAUCCAGGCGCAGGUUUGUUGUACUUUACUUGAUUAUUUCCAUUUUCAUACUGCAGAUGGAAAUUUAAUCUGUACUUCAGUGCACGCAGUUAAUUGACCC